rnacentral:misc_RNA from 1 species
AAAGUCAAAUAGUACGUGAAAUUGUUGAAAGGGAAACGAUUGAAGUCAGUCGUACUCGCGAGUAAUCAACCUUUCGAGGCGAUCUCGAGGGAGUUUGGGAACCUAACGGUCCCUACAUUUUCGGGUUCGUUCUUCUGGGGCGUACUUUCUUGCGCGUAGGUUAACGUCAAUUUCGGACGUCAUAAAAUGAUCGGAGGAAUGUGGCUUCGAUUUUUCGAAGUGUUAUAGACUCUGGUAGACACGACGAACGGGAUUGAGGAUUGCAACGAAUGCCUUUUAGGCUAUCCGCCUGGUCUCUAAUCGUUGCCUUGGUGCCGAAAGCGUGCUUACGGUUAUUGAGGUUGGCGGUUAAAAGGUUAGAACGGGUUAAAUUCGUUAAGGACGUUGACGUAAUGGCUUUAAACGA